AUGCCACUGCCAACCUAUCUAUCGCUGCUAAUCUAUCGCUGCUGCCAACCUAUCUACCGCUGCCAACCUACCUAUCACUGCCAAUCUAUCUACCACUGCUAAUCUAUCGCUGCUAAUCUAUCGCUGCUAAUCUAUUGCUGCUAAUCUAUCUAUCACUGCUAAUCUAUCGCUGCCAACCUACCUACCGCUGCCAACCUAUCUACCACUGCCAAUCUACCUACCGCUGCCAACCUACCUACCACUGCUAAUCUAUCACUGCUAAUCUAUCGCUGCUAAUCUAUUGCUGCUAAUCUAUCGCUGCUAAUCUAUUGCUGCUAAUCUAUCUAUCACUGCUAAUCUAUCGCUGCCAACCUACCUACCGCUGCCAACCUACCUACCGCUGCCAACCUACCUACCACUGCUAAUCUAUCACUGCUAAUCUAUCACUGCCAACCUAUAUAGGGUAAAUCAUGGUCCCAUUUGGUCCCAUUUUGUAAAAUGGGACCAAAUGGGACUGGGACCACUAAUUUAUUAGUAAAACAUGAUCUGGGACUAGAUUUAUAAUAUAAACAGUGUAAAGUGACUAAUUUACUAAACACUAUAUGGGACCAGGACUAAGAUAUCUAAUAAUGGGACUGAGGAAAAAUUUGGUCCCAGUUCCAUGCAUGGUCACACGGCCAGUCUAAACACUCCAUUCAUCAGCUGUGUCUGUUGGAAGCAGGCACAGCUGACAAGUCAGUCAAGAUGAGAUUGAAAUUGAUUGAUGAGCUUUUGCUCAUCAAUCUACCAGCCUCAGAAAUCAGGGAAAUGAUGAUUGAUCUUUCAUAAGAAGUUUCAGUGUUUCUCUUCUCAGAAGCAGAGGAUAUGAAGCUAUAUUGACUGAAUAAUAAAGACAGAGCUGAGUGAGCAGCUGCUGGGAGAGAACAGAUAUACUGUCUAUCAAGAAAAUAGUGAGAAAUAUUGAGUAUAUUUCAAGAAGAGAAGAGCUCAGAUAGUCAAGUCUGAGGAUUCUUGUUCUCACUACUGAAUUGCUGCACACAAAAGUGAAUAUAACAUCUUCAAAUACAAACUCAAGAACC
rnacentral:sRNA from 2 species